CAAUAAUAAUUCCCAAGCAAGACACUGAAGUCCAAUAUACUCCCAGCUAGCAUGAAUGGACUACUGUAACUAUAGGGUAAUACUUGAAUGACAAAAAAACACAGUCGUGUCAGUGUUCACCUCUCAAGGUCGUUUUGAAAUCGGAAAAUAGACGGAAAAUCACCAUUUUUCACUGGGGUGGGUUCAAACCCACGAGAAAAUAUUCCACCUCCCACCCAACCCCCCACCCAUGCCAUCCGCCCCCAAAUCCCAAUAAGUAGUUUAAUAGAUGAGCAUCAGUUACAGCAUCAGGAGUUUGCUCAUUUGCAUAUAAUUUGCAUAUGUUUGCAAAUUUUCGAAAAUGCCUGAUUUUCCAAAAAUGUCUUGGGGGCG
rnacentral:lncRNA from 1 species